rnacentral:rRNA from 1 species
UUGGAGGGCAAGUCUGGUGCCAGCAGCCGCGGUAAUUCCAGCUCCAAUAGCGUAUAUUAAAGUUGUUGCAGUUAAAAAGCUCGUAGUUGAAUUUCGGGAUUGACUCGAUGGUCGUGCCUUAAGGGGUAUGAACUGUCGUUGUUGAUUUCUCACCUUCUGGAGAAGCUCGAUGUCCUUAAUUGGAUGUCUUGUGGAACCAGGACCUUUACCUUGAAAAAAUUAGAGUGUUUAAAGCAGGCAUUUUGCUCGAAUACAUUAGCAUGGAAUAAUAGAAUAGGACGGCAUGAUUCUAUUUUGUUGGUUUCUAGGAUCACCGUAAUGAUUAAUAGGGAUAGUUGGGGGCAUUAGUAUUCAAUUGUCAGAGGUGAAAUUCUUGGAUUUAUUGAAGACUAACUACUGCGAAAGCAUUUGCCAAGGAUGUUUUCAUUAAUCAAGAACGAAAGUUAGGGGAUCGAAGACGAUCAGAUACCGUCGUAGUCUUAACCAUAAACUAUGCCGACUAGGAAUCAGACGAUGUUAAUUUUUUAAUGACUCGUUCGGCGCCUUACGGGAAAC